rnacentral:misc_RNA from 1 species
GAAAUGCGAUAAGUAGUGUGAAUUGCAGAAUUCCGUGAAUCAUCGAAUCUUUGAACGCACAUUGCGCCUCCUGGUACUCCGGGAGGCAUGCCUGUUCGAGCGUCAUUAUAACCCUCUCAAGCAUUGCUGCUUGGUCCUGGAGCUGGAGCGCCCCUCCGCGGCGGUCCUCUCCGAAAUGCAAUGGCAGACCGCGGCGUCGGCGUCAGCGUAGUGAGCAUUUUGCGUCGCGAAGCGUCGUCGCCCGUCCCGCCGGACAAAAACCCUUCCUUUAUAAUGUUGACCUCGGAUCAGGUAGGGAUACCCGCUGAACUUAAGC